UCACACAGCCCCAGAGCCCCCCCGCCGCCCCGGGAGCGGCCCCUCGGCACCGGGGGAGCGGCGUCUGCCGGCAGCCCCGUACCAGAGAAACCGCUCGCUCCGGCGAAGCGAGUCGCGCUAGUACAGGCCGCAGCACUCAGUGUGUCACCACAAGAUAAGAAAAUGAAACUGAAGUUUCUGUCUCCGGCCAACCGAAGCUGGGGCUGCAAGACUUAUUCUUGGUGAAUUGUUUUCUACCGGCAGUAUGUGCAGAGUGUCGAUUUACCUAUGCCUGUGAAACCACGUUUCAGAUGUGUUCUUGAAACCACCUCCUAUCAAAAGCAUAGUUUUGCUGAAAUAAUUAGUUAGAAAUGCUUCUGGUACACCUAUGUCCCACUACUUCUUAUCCCAGUUGACAUAGCUGUCAGUUAAAGGUUUGGUUUGGGUUUUUUUAUAGAUGCAGCUAGGGGGCUUGCUAGCAUAAAACCCACUAAAAAGCCUCUGGACUAGACCUACACAUAGCACACUUGGCUUGAGAAUCACCGGCAACUGAUAAUUAAAGAAGUUUUGCUGGAUAGCUGUGAAAUUAUAUUACUACAUGAGAAAAUAUGUCAAGGUAAGAAGUCUUUCAAGAAUUUAUUACAUUCCAAAACAUCUGUAGUUGUACUUGAAAAUACUCAUACUUGUGUUUAUGCUUGAG